CUCCUUCCUAUUUGUAAAAGAUUUAUCUCCCUGUUGCUUAUUGUCUAUCUUUUAUUUUGCUAUUUAAUUUUUAUGUUUUUCUCUUGUGUAAUUGCUGUGGCUAAUGUUUCCAAAACUAUAUUGAACAGGAGUGAUGAUAUCCAAAGUGGACAUCUUUGUCUUGUUCCUGAUUUUAGUGUGAAGGAUUUCAGUUUUUGAUCAUUUAGUAUGAUAUUGGCUGUUGGUUUUUCAUAGAUGGCUUCUAUCAGUUUGAGGUAGAGACCAUCUAUUCUGAUUUUUUGUAGGGUUUUCAUCAUAAAUGCAUGUUGGAUUUUGUCAAAUGCUUUUUCUGCAUCUAUCGAGGUGAUCAUAUGGUUUUUGUCCUUGGCUCUAUUGAUAUACUGUAUUAUGUUUAUUGAUUUGCAUAUGUUGAACCAUCCCUGCAUUCCUGGGAUGAAUCCCACUUGAUCAGGGUGUAUGAUCUUCUUGAUGAUCUUCUGCAUUCUGUUUGCCAGUAUCUUAUUAAGGAUUUUUGCAUCUAUGUUCAUUAGUGAGAUUGGUCUAUAGUUCUCUUUUUCGGUUGGGUCUUCCUCUGCUUUGGGGAUCAAGGUGAUGCUUGCUUCCAGGAAUGAAUUUGGGAGUAUUGCUUCCCUUUCAAUUUCAUUGAAGAGUUUAAACAGUAGUGGCAGUAGUUCCUCUCUAAAUGUCUUGUGUAAUUCAGCAGUGAAACCAUCAGCACCCAGACUUUUCUUGAUUGGUAAGUUUUUAAUUAGGUUUUCAAUUUCAUUGAUUGAUAUUGGGUUGUUUAGAAUUUUUAGGUCUUCUUAAUUCAACUUUGGUAAUUCAUAUGUGUCUAGGAAUCUGUCCAUUUCUUCUGUGUUUUCCAUCUUACUGGCAUAUAGAUUCUUGAAGUAGGUAUUGAUGAUCCUCUGGAUUUCUGCUGGGUCUGCUGUAAUUUCACCUUUUUCAUUCUUAAUUGCAUGGAUUUGGGCCUUUUCUUUCCUAUUUUUGAUAAGGUUGGCUAAGGGUUUGUCAAUUUUGUUUAUUCUUUAGAAGAACCAGCUCUUGGCUUCAUUGAUUUUUUUUUUGUAUCAUUCUCUUAGUCUCCACUGCAUUGAUUUUUCCUCUGAUCUUCAUAAUUUCCUCCCUUUUAUGAGCUUUGGGUUUGUCCUGCUCUUCUUUUUCCAGAAGCUUGAGGUCCAGCAUCAGGUUAUUUUAUUGGGCUACCUCUGUUUUCCUAAUAUGAGUAUUCACUGCUAUGAAUUUCCCUCAUAAGACUGCUUUCAUUGUGUCCCAUAGAUUCCAAUAUGUUGUAUUGUCAUUGUCAUUUAAUUGUAGGAACUGUCUGAUUUCUCCUUUAAUUUCCUCUGUGACCCAUUGCUUAUUCAGAAGUGUGUUGUCCUAUUUCCAUGUGUUUAUGAAGUUUAUGCAGUUUCUUUUG
ensembl:lncRNA